rnacentral:rRNA from 1 species
UAAGGAAUAUUGGACAAUGGCCGCAAGGCUGAUCCAGCCAUCCAGCGUGCAGGAAGAAGGCCCUACGGGUUGUAAACUGCUUUUGUCAGGGAAGAAACCCUUGGAUUGACUCCGAGGCUGACGGUACCUGAAGAAUAAGCACCGGCUAACUCCGUGCCAGCAGCCGCGGUAAUACGGAGGGUGCGAGCGUUAUCCGGAAUUACUGGGUUUAAAGGGUGCGUAGGCGGCUUGGUAAGUCAGGAGUGAAAGUUUGCGGCUCAACCGUAAAAUUGCUUUUGAUACUGCCGGGCUAGAAUCAGGAUGAGGUCAGCGGAAUGUGGCAUGUAGCGGUGAAAUGCAUAGAUAUGCCAUAGAACACCUAUUGCGAAGGCAGCUGGCUAGACCUGUAUUGACGCUGAGGCACGAAAGCGUGGGGAGCGAACAGGGUUAGAUACCCUGGUAGUCCACGCCCUAAACGAUGCUUACUCGACGUACGGCACUAGAU